UACGAAGGGGGCUAGCGUUGUUCGGAAUUACUGGGCGUAAAGCGCACGUAGGCGGAUUGUUAAGUCGGGGGUGAAAUCCUGGAGCUCAACUCCAGAACUGCCUUCGAUACUGGCGAUCUCGAGUUCGGGAGAGGUGAGUGGAACUGCGAGUGUAGAGGUGAAAUUCGUAGAUAUUCGCAAGAACACCAGUGGCGAAGGCGGCUCACUGGCCCGAUACUGACGCUGAGGUGCGAAAGCGUGGGGAGCGAACAGG
rnacentral:rRNA from 1 species